rnacentral:rRNA from 1 species
UGGGGAAUUUUGGACAAUGGGCGCAAGCCUGAUCCAGCCAUGCCGCGUGUGGGAAGAAGGCCUUCGGGUUGUAAACCACUUUUGUCAGGGAAGAAACGGUCUGGUCUAAUAAACCGGACUAAUGACGGUACCUGAAGAAUAAGCACCGGCUAACUACGUGCCAGCAGCCGCGGUAAUACGUAGGGUGCAAGCGUUAAUCGGAAUUACUGGGCGUAAAGCGUGCGCAGGCGGCUUUGCAAGACAGAUGUGA